GGAGCAGUUGAAAUAGUUAUUGCUGAGAAAAUUAUGAUGCUGAAUACAGGAAGUUACAGAAACCAAAAAUAAAAGCACAAAGAGACGAACAACCAGUUGGCCUGAAGGAGGAAAAGAGAAAGGAAAGCUGACAAAAUGUGCCCAUCACAUAGGAAUCUGGCCACCCGGGGAAGGCAGGAGUGGAGGGUGUGCCGGACUGGGAAUUGAGCGGAAAGAAAGUGAACAAAACCAGGCAUCUAUGGACUGGACCUGAUGGCCAAUAUUUUAUGGG